AACUGGCUGAUGGUGGGGUGCAGAGCAUAUUUCUGUGGGUGACCUGCUGCUCUCCCCUCCUGCCGGCAGGACUGGAAUAAACGCUCCUGCAUGAUUCAACCCCAUCUCUGCUGAAUUGGCUCAAGUAGUGACAGGCAGCCCGGACCCACUGGUUGUUCGGUUACAAAAGGAUAAUAAAACCUGGGAGUUUUCUUGGAGAUAGUCUCCACAUAAUCGUCUUCACCAUGUCUCAGAUUUACUCCAGCCUGGCUGGGGCACAGGUGACAAGAAUUAAAGGUACAAACAGCUUAGAAAUCUAGAAUUCUCAGCCCUGGCCACUGCUCAGGUUUCUUCAGAACUUCCCUGUGAGUAUCCUGGGCUCCCACUGCCAUUGGUUAAGCCUGACAGGGGAGCCCUAGCUUCUGCCCCCCCACGACCCCUCACGCUCUCUGGCUUAUGCCUACCCUUCCUGGGUCAGGACUGCCCCACACCAGGCCUGGGAUUCACUCCUUCAUUCAAAUAUUACUCCCUGGCAGGCAAUUGUUAAACCAAAAAUACAUUUCUCAAGUUAUGAGGAUGGAUCAAAGUUUUAUUUUAAAUUUACAG